GUCCACGCCCUAAACGAUGUCUACUAGUUGUCGGGUCUUAAUUGACUUGGUAACGCAGCUAACGCGUGAAGUAGACCGCCUGGGGAGUACGGUCGCAAGAUUAAAACUCAAAGGAAUUGACGGGGACCCGCACAAGCGGUGGAUGAUGUGGAUUAAUUCGAUGCAACGCGAAAAACCUUACCUACCCUUGACAUGGCUGGAAUCCCCGAGAGAUUGGGGAGUGCUCGAAAGAGAACCAGUACACAGGUGCUGCAUGGCUGUCGUCAGCUCGUGUCGUGAGAUGUUGGGUUAAGUCCCGCAACGAGCGCAACCCUUGUCAUUAGUUGCUACGAAAGGGCACUCUAAUGAGACUGCCGGUGACAAACCGGAGGAAGGUGGGGAUGACGUCAAGUCCUCAUGGCCCUUAUGGGUAGGGCUUCACACGUCAUACAAUGGUACAUACAGAGCGCCGCCAACCCGCGAGGGGGAGCUAAUCGCAGAAAGUGUAUCGUAGUCCGGAUUGUAGUCUGCAACUCGACUGCAUGAAGUUGGAAUCGCUAGUAAUCGCGGAUCAGCAUGUCGCGGUGAAUACGUUCCCGGGUCUUGUACACACCGCCCGUCACACCAUGGGAGCGGGUUUUACCAGAAGUAGGUAGCUUAACCGCAAGGAG
rnacentral:rRNA from 1 species